UGCACACUCCUUAGAUCCAUCUCUAUUUUUUGCAGAGAUGCAUGAGUCAUUAGUGUGCUAGAUUAUGCAACACCUUCUUUUUGAUCUUUUUAAACAGUGUUAUAAAUUAACUUUAAUGUUAUAUUUAUAUAAGUCACUGAUUAUAUGAUCAACAAGAGGACAUU